rfam:Oreochromis niloticus linkage group LG7, whole genome shotgun sequence.
ACACUGGCUGUUUUAACAGCCAUCAUUAUCAGAGUUCAGUUAACA